rnacentral:rRNA from 1 species
UAACACUGAGGCGUGAUGACGAGGCACUACGGUGCUGAAGCAACAAAUGCCCUGCUUCCAGGAAAAGCCUCUAAGCAUCAGGUAACAUCAAAUCGUACCCCAAACCGACACAGGUGGUCAGGUAGAGAAUACCAAGGCGCUUGAGAGAACUCGGGUGAAGGAACUAGGCAAAAUGGUGCCGUAACUUCGGGAGAAGGCACGCUGACACGUAGGUGAAGUGAUUUACUCACGGAGCUGAAGUCAGUCGAAGAUACCAGCUGGCUGCAACUGUUUAUUAAAAACACAGCACUGUGCAAACACGAAAGUGGACGUAUACGGUGUGACGCCUGCCCGGUGCCGGAAGGUUAAUUGAUGGGGUCAGCGCAAGCGAAGCUCCUGAUCGAAGCCCCGGUAAACGGCGGCCGUAACUAUAACGGUCCUAAGGUAGCGAAAUUCCUUGUCGGGUAAGUUCCGACCUGCACGAAUGGCGUAAUGAUGGCCAGGCUGUCUCCACCCGAGACUCAGUGAAAUUGAACUCGCUGUGAAGAUGCAGUGUACCCGCGGCAAGACGGAAAGACCCCGUGAACCUUUACUAUAGCUUGACACUGAACAUUGAGCCUUGAUGUGUAGGAUAGGUGGGAGGCUUUGAAGUGUGGACGCCAGUCUGCAUGGAGCCGACCUUGAAAUACCACCCUUUAAUGUUUGAUGUUCUAACGUGGACCCGUAAUCCGGGUUGCGGACAGUGUCUGGUGGGUAGUUUGACUGGGGCGGUCUCCUCCUAAAGAGUAACGGAGGAGCACGAAGGUUGGCUAAUCCUGGUCGGACAUCAGGAGGUUAGUGCAAUGGCAUAAGCCAGCUUGACUGCGAGCGUGACGGCGCGAGCAGGUGCGAAAGCAGGUCAUAGUGAUCCGGUGGUUCUGAAUGGAAGGGCCAUCGCUCAACGGAUAAAAGGUACUCCGGGGAUAACAGGCUGAUACCGCCCAAGAGUUCAUAUCGACGGCGGUGUUUGGCACCUCGAUGUCGGCUCAUCACAUCCUGGGGCUGAAGUAGGUCCCAAGGGUAUGGCUGUUCGCCAUUUAAAGUGGUACGCGAGCUGGGUUUAGAACGUCGUGAGACAGUUCGGUCCCUAUCUGCCGUGGGCGCUGGAGAACUGAGGGGGGCUGCUCCUAGUACGAGAGGACCGGAGUGGACGCAUCACUGGUGUUCGGGUUGUCAUGCCAAUGGCACUGCCCGGUAGCUAAAUGCGGAAGAGAUAAGUGCUGAAAGCAUCUAAGCACGAAACUUGCCCCGAGAUGAGUUCUCCCUGAGACUUUAGGUCUCCUGAAGGAACGUUGAAGACGACGACGUUGAUAGGCCGGGUGUGUAAGCGCAGCGAUGCGUUGAGCUAACCGGUACUAAUGAACCGUGAGGCUUAACCUUACAACGCCGAAG